rnacentral:rRNA from 1 species
UAUUACAAGGUGCUGCAUGGUUGUCGUCAGCUCGUGCCGUGAGGUGUCGGGUUAAGUCCCAUAACGAGCGCAACCCUACCUUUAGUUGCCAUCAGGUUAAGCUGGGGACUCUAAAGGAACUGCCUACGCAAGUAGUGAGGAAGGCGGGGAUGACGUCAAAUCAGCACGGCCCUUACGUCCAGGGCUACACACGUGCUACAAUGGCCGAUACAGAGGGCAGCUACCUGGUGACAGGAUGCAAAUCUCCAAAGUCGGUCUCAGUUCGGAUCGGAGUCUGCAACCCGACUCCGUGAAGUUGGAUUCGCUAGUAAUCGCGCAUCAGCCAUGGCGCGGUGAAUACGUUCCCAGGCCUU